GACGUAGGGCGCGAGCGUUGUCCGGAUUUAUUGGGCGUAAAGAGCUCGUAGGCGGCUUGUCGCGUCGACUGUGAAAACCCGCGGCUCAACCGCGGGCCUGCAGCCGAUACGGGCAGGCUAGAGUUCGGUAGGGGAGACUGGAAUUCCCGGUGUAGCGGUGAAAUGUGUAGAGAUCGGGAGGAACACCGGUGGCGAAGGCGGGUCUCUGGGCAAUUCCUGACGCUGAGGCGCGAAAGCGUGGGGAGCAAACGGG
rnacentral:rRNA from 1 species